UUUUCUUCUUUUUUAUUCACACGGGGCCCAUGACCCCAGGAUAAAGCUGAGGUGAGCGGGCACAGGCCAGGGUGUGGCACGAAUGUCCCCUCCCCACCUCGUGUCUCAGGGUCCCCUCGAAGCCCCAUGCUGGCCUAACAGCGCAGGCCUCUGUGUCCUCUGUCAGAAAUAUCCUGUCCCCUCCCUGAGCUCAGGCCGGGUGUGUCACCUCCUCCCCACCAUCUUCCGGGCCCUUCCUGGCUCCGGCUGCUCCCGCUGUGCCCUCUUUUUUUUGUUUGUUUGUUUGUUUGUUUGAGACGGAGUCUCACUCUGUCGCUCAGGCUGGAGUGCAGUGGCGCAAUCUGGGCUCACUGCAAGCUCCGCCUCCCGGGUUCGCGCCAUUCUCCUGCCUCAGCCUCCCGAGUAGCUGGGACUACAGGCGCCCGCCACCACGCCUGGCUAAUUUUUUGUAUUUUUUAGUAGAGACGGGGUUUCACGGUGGUAGCCAGGAUGGUCUUGAUCUCCUGACCUCGUGAUCCGCCCGCCUCGGCCUCCCAAAGUGCUGGGAUUACAGGCGUGAGCCACCGCGCCCGGCCCAGCUGUGCCCUCUGUGCUGGGUGCAGACCCCCGUCCUGAGCCUACUUCUCUGCUGCUGUUGUUUCUCUGUCAGCCACCACUGUCCACCACGAGCCGGCAGAGGGCCGGCCAGGUGCUGUGGGGUGCAGCUGGAGGCCUGAUCCCUGUCUAGAGGCCUUGAAGGCUGGUGGGAUCGUCCCAGUGUGUGACGAGAGGCUCCUGCUCCCUCAGGUGGGGACAAGACACGGGGGGACCCGGAUCCCAGCCCCACCAGCCGCCACAGGCGUGCAGGAGAGGCCUCGCGCUCCAGACGGGCUGUGGCCUGGUGUUGGCACACCCAUUGCCCUCCCGCCCGGCCGCAGCUGUUGGUGCGGGCCCUCUUGUCCCUUAGAGUCACCUGGCACAUCUGUCAUCCACCUGUGCCUGCUGGACUCCUCCGCAGACCAGACCAGGUGGAUUUCACCACUCACAUGCCCAAGGCAGCCCCGCUCUCCUCGGCAGAGUUGCAGGAACCCCGGCCUUCCCUGGGGCCUGGGGCCGAGGCCUGAGGGGCACUCUCCGCUUCUGCCUUUGUAUUCUUUCAAGAAGACCAAAGUGCCUUUCCUUAUUAUAGAAAACUUAGAGAAGUCACAAGUAGAAAGAGGCAAACGUCCCGUAAGGAACGCAUGCCCGCAGACAUCGUCUGAGCUGAUUUUCUUUCUCCCGCUUGUGUGUGGCCUGAGAGUGUGAGAUUGAGCUGCUCACCACGCGGGGUGGGGCGCUGCGCCUGCUCUUCUGCCCCAGGAGGAUACCGGCAACUCUGCCCUCUGCAGCCGUCACUGGAGGGUCCCUGCAGGGAGCAACCGUGGCAUCAGUGUUUACUCCUGCGAGCGACGCUUGGUGAACAUCUGUGUCCCUGGCCCCAGUGAGGGGAAAGGCUUCUGUGCUCAGGGUGACAACCAGAUGCCGGACAUAGGGUCCCUGGGCACCCAUCACAGGUUCCCGCAGCAGCUGGCACCCAGAAUCCUCUGGGUUCCUUAUACCCCCACACUAGCGCCCGCUUCCCUGGGCCCAGUGGCCUCAGGCCCCUUUGCCAGUGAGGGAAGGGUCUGCAGUGGUCACUCCCGGAGGCGGUGUGGCCGCUCUCUGAGAGCGUCCUUGCUGGUUCUAACAGUGGGGGCUCUUCCUGCUCCAGCCGCUGUCAGUCUGGUGUGGCAGGAGGGGCCUGGGUGGGAGCCGUCCUGCGAUUGCAGACUGGGCCUUGGGGCCCCAGGUGGCUGAGUCCUGGCGCUGUGUCCUUUCAGGAUGGUGGAUGUGGGGGGCCAGCGGUCGGAGCGGAGGAAGUGGAUCCACUGCUUUGAGAACGUGACAUCCAUCAUGUUUCUCGUCGCCCUCAGCGAAUACGACCAAGUCCUGGUGGAGUCGGACAACGAGGUGGGCCCUGCCCUGAGCAGGGGCAGCGUUGGGGGCCGGGCCUUCCCCACCCGCCGAGCCUGGGUCCCCUCACCUGGGUCCCCUCAGCUGCCCCUUGGGCUGUGUGCAGCAGGGAGGGCCCCUCUGAUUCCCGCUGCCUUUGCUACCGCCAGAACCGGAUGGAGGAGAGCAAAGCCUUGUUCCGGACCAUCAUCACCUACCCCUGGUUCCAGAACUCCUCCGUCAUCCUCUUCCUCAACAAGAAGGACCUGCUGGAGGACAAGAUCCUGUACUCGCACCUGGUGGACUACUUCCCUGAGUUCGACGGGCCCCAGCGGGACGCCCAGGCGGCGCGGGAGUUCAUCCUGAAGAUGUUUGUGGACCUGAACCCCGACAGCGACAAGAUCAUCUACUCACACUUCACGUGUGCCACCGACACGGAGAACAUCCGCUUCGUGUUCGCGGCUGUGAAGGACACCAUUCUGCAGCUCAACCUCAAGGAGUACAACCUGGUCUGAGCGCCCAGGCCCGGGAGAUGGGGCGGAGACACGGGGCAGGACCUUCCUUCCACGGAGCCUGCGGCUGCCGGGCGGGUGGCGCUGCCAAGUCCGGGCCGGGGCCUCUGCCCGCGGGAGGAGAUUUUUUUUUUCAUAUUUUUAACAAACGGUUUUUAUUUCACAGUUAUCAGGGGAUGUACAUCUCUCCCUCCGUACACUUCGCGCACCUUCUCACCUUUUGUCAACAGCAAAGGCAGCCUUUUUCUGGCCUUGACUUAUGGCUCGCUUUUUUCU
rnacentral:sRNA from 1 species